AUAGAUGUGGGAGGGAUGGCAGCAGAAGUAGGGGUAACAUGACCAUGAUUAAGAUCUGAAGUGUAUUUCACUAAAUGUUCAGGGGUUAAAUACCCCUUAUAAAAGAAUUAUGAUGAAGGAACUGCUCAAAAAAAAGGUAUAGGUAUAGCGAUGUUGCAAGAGACACAUUGGAUUAAAGCAGAUAAGAUCAGGUGGAAAGACGAGGGGUAUGAAAUAAU